GACGAACGCUGGCGGCGUGCCUAAUACAUGCAAGUUGAGCGCUGAAGGUUGGUACUUGUACCAACUGGAUGAGCAGCGAACGGGUGAGUAACGCGUGGGGAAUCUGCCUCUGAGCGGGGGACAACAUUUGGAAACGAAUGCUAAUACCGCAUAAAAACUUUAAACACAAGUUUUAAGUUUGAAAGAUGCAAUUGCAUCACUCAAAGAUGAUCCCGCGUUGUAUUAGCUAGUUGGUGAGGUAAAGGCUCACCAAGGCGAUGAUACAUAGCCGACCUGAGAGGGUGGUCGGCCAAAUUGGGACUGAGAAACGGCCCAAACUCCUACGGGAGGCAGCAGUAGGGAAUCUUCGGCAAUGGACGAAAGUCUGACCGAGCAACGCCGCGUGAGUGAAGAAGGUUUUCGGAUCGUAAAACUCUGUUGGUAGAGAAGAACGUUGGUGAGAGUGGAAAGCUCAUCAAGUGACGGUAACUACCCAGAAAGGGACGGCUAACUACGUG
rnacentral:rRNA from 1 species